UACGUAGGGUGCGAGCGUUAAUCGGAAUUACUGGGCGUAAAGCGUGCGCAGGCGGUUUUGUAAGCCAGAUGUGAAAUCCCCGGGCUUAACCUGGGAAUGGCAUUUGGGACUGCAAGGCUCGAGUGCGGCAGAGGAGACUGGAAUUCCCGGUGUAGCAGUGAAAUGCGUAGAUAUCGGGAGGAAUACCGAUGGCGAAGGCAGGUCUCUGGGCUGACACUGACGCUCAUGCACGAAAGCGUGGGGAGCAAACAGG
rnacentral:rRNA from 1 species